UGUGAGCUCGAUGAGUAGGGCGGGACACGUGGUAUCCUGUCUGAAUAUGGGGGGACCAUCCUCCAAGGCUAAAUACUCCUGACUGACCGAUAGUGAACCAGUACCGUGAGGGAAAGGCGAAAAGAACCCCGGCGAGGGGAGUGAAAAAGAACCUGAAACCGUGUACGUACAAGCAGUGGGAGCACAGAGCAAUCUGUGUGACUGCGUACCUUUUGUAUAAUGGGUCAGCGACUUAUAUUCUGUAGCAAGGUUAACCGAAUAGGGGAGCCGAAGGGAAACCGAGUCUUAACUGGGCGUUAAGUUGCAGGGUAUAGACCCGAAACCCGGUGAUCUAGCCAUGGGCAGGUUGAAGGUUGGGUAACACUAACUGGAGGACCGAACCGACUAAUGUUGAAAAAUUAGCGGAUGACUUGUGGCUGGGGGUGAAAGGCCAAUCAAACCGGGAGAUAGCUGGUUCUCCCCGAAAGCUAUUUAGGUAGCGCCUCGUGAAUUCAUCUCCGGGGGUAGAGCACUGUUUCGGCAAGGGGGUCAUCCCGACUUACCAACCCGAUGCAAACUGCGAAUACCGGAGAAUGUUAUCACGGGAGACACACGGCGGGUGCUAACGUCCGUCGUGAAGAGGGAAACAACCCAGACCGCCAGCUAAGGUCCCAAAGUCAUGGUUAAGUGGGAAACGAUGUGGGAAGGCCCAGACAGCCAGGAUGUUGGCUUAGAAGCAGCCAUCAUUUAAAGAAAGCGUAAUAGCUCACUGGUCGAGUCGGCCUGCGCGGAAGAUGUAACGGGGCUAAACCAUGCACCGAAGCUGCGGCAGCGACGCUGAUGCGUUGUUGGGUAGGGGAGCGUUCUGUAAGCCUGCGAAGGUGUGCUGUGAGGCAUGCUGGAGGUAUCAGAAGUGCGAAUGCUGACAUAAGUAACGAUAAAGCGGGUGAAAAGCCCGCUCGCCGGAAGACCAAGGGUUCCUGUCCAACGUUAAUCGGGGCAGGGUGAGUCGACCCCUAAGGCGAGGCCGAAAGGCGUAGUCGAUGGGAAACAGGUUAAUAUUCCUGUACUUGGUGUUACUGCGAAGGGGGGACGGAGAAGGCUAUGUUGGCCGGGCGACGGUUGUCCCGGUUUAAGCGUGUAGGCUGGUUUUCCAGGCAAAUCCGGAAAAUCAAGGCUGAGGCGUGAUGACGAGGCACUACGGUGCUGAAGCAACAAAUGCCCUGCUUCCAGGAAAAGCCUCUAAGCAUCAGGUAACAUCAAAUCGUACCCCAAACCGACACAGGUGGUCAGGUAGAGAAUACCAAGGCGCUUGAGAGAACUCGGGUGAAGGAACUAGGCAAAAUGGUGCCGUAACUUCGGGAGAAGGCACGCUGAUAUGUAGGUGAAGUCCCUCGCGGAUGGAGCUGAAAUCAGUCGAAGAUACCAGCUGGCUGCAACUGUUUAUUAAAAACACAGCACUGUGCAAACACGAAAGUGGACGUAUACGGUGUGACGCCUGCCCGGUGCCGGAAGGUUAAUUGAUGGGGUUAGCGCAAGCGAAGCUCUUGAUCGAAGCCCCGGUAAACGGCGGCCGUAACUAUAACGGUCCUAAGGUAGCGAAAUUCCUUGUCGGGUAAGUUCCGACCUGCACGAAUGGCGUAAUGAUGGCCAGGCUGUCUCCACCCGAGACUCAGUGAAAUUGAACUCGCUGUGAAGAUGCAGUGUACCCGCGGCAAGACGGAAAGACCCCGUGAACCUUUACUAUAGCUUGACACUGAACAUUGAGCCUUGAUGUGUAGGAUAGGUGGGAGGCUUUGAAGUGUGGACGCCAGUCUGCAUGGAGCCGACCUUGAAAUACCACCCUUUAAUGUUUGAUGUUCUAACGUUGACCCGUGAUCCGGGUUGCGGACAGUGUCUGGUGGGUAGUUUGACUGGGGCGGUCUCCUCCUAAAGAGUAACGGAGGAGCACGAAGGUUGGCUAAUCCUGGUCGGACAUCAGGAGGUUAGUGCAAUGGCAUAAGCCAGCUUGACUGCGAGCGUGACGGCGCGAGCAGGUGCGAAAGCAGGUCAUAGUGAUCCGGUGGUUCUGAAUGGAAGGGCCAUCGCUCAACGGAUAAAAGGUACUCCGGGGAUAACAGGCUGAUACCGCCCAAGAGUUCAUAUCGACGGCGGUGUUUGGCACCUCGAUGUCGGCUCAUCACAUCCUGGGGCUGAAGUAGGUCCCAAGGGUAUGGCUGUUCGCCAUUUAAAGUGGUACGCGAGCUGGGUUUAGAACGUCGUGAGACAGUUCGGUCCCUAUCUGCCGUGGGCGCUGGAGAACUGAGGGGGGCUGCUCCUAGUACGAGAGGACCGGAGUGGACGCAUCACUGGUGUUCGGGUUGUCAUGCCAAUGGCACUGCCCGGUAGCUAAAUGCGGAAGAGAUAAGUGCUGAAAGCAUCUAAGCACGAAACUUGCCCCGAGAUGAGUUCUCCCUGACUCCUUGA
rnacentral:rRNA from 1 species